UACGAAGGGGGCUAGCGUUGUUCGGAAUUACUGGGCGUAAAGCGCACGUAGGCGGAUAUUUAAGUCAGGGGUGAAAUCCCAGAGCUCAACUCUGGAACUGCCUUUGAUACUGGGUAUCUCGAGUAUGGAAGAGGUGAGUGGAAUUCCGAGUGUAGAGGUGAAAUUCGUAGAUAUUCGCAAGAACACCAGUGGCGAAGGCGGCUCACUGGCCCGAUACUGACGCUGAGGUGCGAAAGCGUGGGGAGCAAACAGG
rnacentral:rRNA from 1 species